UAUUUGUCCUUUUUCUUCAAACAGGACAUCCAAGAUACAGACGAACUGACUAAAAUAAAAUAGACGGACAGAUCCUAAGAGACUGCGAUGCGCAUGCUACAUUCAACCUGAUUUUAUUCAUGCUUGCCUUGGGGUGGGGAAUAGAUCAUUCGGUAAAAACAUACAUAAAAACAAACAAUGUCUUACCAUGUACAACUUUUAAACUAUAAUAAUUAUGUACCUUAAUUACUUCCUGCACAAAGGUCUAACAUUACAGUAUUUUUAAAAAAUAAACACAAUGAAGACUUCUAGGAGGUCUGGGGAUGUGGCUCAAGUGGCAGCGCGCUCGCCUGGCAUGCGUGCGGCCCGGGUUCGAUCCUCAGCACCACAUACCAACAAAGAUGUUGUGUCUGCCGAAAACUACUAAAAAAUAAAUAUUAAAAAAAGAUUUCUAGGAACAUUUUAUCAUAAAUUAAUUCCUAAUUUUUCUUUGUAGAUAGAUCAAGCACCUCCAAAAUACAAAUUCCUAUCCACGGUGAGUACUUUACUUAAAAUGUAGGAAGGAUUUCUUCCCAGUCCCUCUGAGUGCUGGGAAUACUCCUUUUCCCUCUUCAGUGGAAGGGAUUUGGAGAUUCUCAUCUGUCAUCCUUCAAAGCCAAGAAGUUUGGGGUCAGGGACACAACCAAAGCUCGUCCUCCAACAUCAUUCUGAGCUGUAAGGGCUGAGGACAAUUGUUGUUUGGUGCUGGGAUUGAACCCAGAGGGACUUUACCACUGAGCCACAUGUCCACUCCUUUUUACUUUUUAUUUUUCAGACAGGGUCUUGCUAUAUUCCUUAGGGCCUCGAUGAGUUGCUGAGGCUGGCCUCCAAUUUGUAAUCCUCCUGCCUCAGCCUUCGGAGUCACUGGGAUCACAGGCGUGCACCACUGCAGCUGGCCUGAGGAUGGUUCUGAGAGAAAGGGAAACCCAGCCUCCUGACGCUGUGUCUGUGCUGACAGUACAGUAGGACCUUGCCGCCCCUGACUAAGGCCCUGAUGUACCACAGAAACGACUCCGAGAUGGAUGAUCCAAAGCAUUCUCUCAUGUUACCAAAAUAUGUCUCAACAAGGUCUUUUCUGACUUACAUCUGGCUCAACUGUCUUUGUGGUUUUUGUGGGUUUUGCCUUUAUAAACUCUAUAUUUCAAAAUCCAGGAGCUGGGAGUUCUGGGAGGCGCUGGCCCGCUCCCAACGGCUUGCCUGGCACCCUCAUUAAAGGGCUUUUCCCCUUUCAAUUUGGCUUCA